UACGUAGGGUGCAAGCGUUGUCCGGAAUUAUUGGGCGUAAAGAGCUCGUAGGCGGUCUGUCGCGUCUGCUGUGAAACUCAGGGCUUAACCCUGAGCUUGCAGUGGGUACGGGCAGACUAGAGUGCGGUAGGGGAGACUGGAAUUCCUGGUGUAGCGGUGAAAUGCGCAGAUAUCAGGAGGAACACCGGUGGCGAAGGCGGGUCUCUGGGCCGUAACUGACGCUGGAGGAGCGAAAGCAUGGGGAGCGAACAGG
rnacentral:rRNA from 1 species